UGGGGCAGGCAGCUGGAGAGCAGCUCCCUCCAAGCUCCAGGGGAUAGCUUGGAGUGUUCUGCUUCCUACUGACAUCCCAACA